AGGGUCACACAGUGGACAUGAAUUGUUAGAUGCCUCGAUAUCUUUCAUGACUGCAUUUCUGAUCCAUAAUUUAAAGUGGCAACUGAUGUUUAAAGUUAAGGCACAGUUACAAGAUACAUUUAAUUAUACAAAAAUCUGUUUUUUUCAGCUCUUGACAUCUGUACACUCUUAGUCAUUAAACUAAUGGUGGUGUGCUAAUGCUACCAACAAGAAAUAUUUGUCUUGUGUUCUGGCAAUAAAAAGGAAAAAGAAAAGUACUGUACUUUGCAGUUAAUGGAGGAAACAGAUCCACGUCAAGAGCAUGGAAUAAUGAAUGAAAAAGGGAAGAAGACGGUGUUGUUACUCUCAGGCUGGUUUUCUGCCCUCUCCCCACUGUAAGAAACUGCCUUCCUAAUGGCAGAAAGGAAAUUUUCCACUGUAGCACAAGUAAUUGUCUAAGUGUUUUGUGGUUAGCUGCAAGUCCUGAACUGCUGAAGAUAAUAAAAACUUAUUCUCUGAGCUCUCGCUUUUUGGAUUUUAAACAUUACCGUGUACAGUAGGAGUGCAAUUCUUUUUGCUGUGUUGAGGUCUGUGUUUAUCCCCUGUGCCCCAUUUUUCACAGGGACAGAUGGAUGGAGAAGAUACAGCAGAAUAAAUACGUGCAGGCAUCCCGCUACAAAGAAAACUUUCUGCAUGGGAGCCGGCUCAGGAGAAAUGAUGUUGUUGGGAAUGGAAAGGUGAAGGUGAGAAAACCAAGACUUUCUGUCUCCUUGGAGAUAACAGCCAGCCAACAUUACCUUCAGAAAUCAGUGUGA
rnacentral:lncRNA from 1 species